AAAAAUAAAAAAAUAUAUGUGAAAUGUCAAAUAUUGUAAUGUCAGUGGUGUGGUUUGAUCUAUAUAAUAUUUUUGAUUCUUCUCUUGCUGGCUCGACCCUACCUCUAAUGGGUUACUGCUGUUGCCACCGUGGCAGAACCAAUAUUUGCAGGCACAACUAAACCACCACCACUUCCACCACCAUUUCUAACACGCACUGAACAAUCAUCGUAUAGAAACUUGUGAACAAUCCUAAGACUCUUUGUCAAAACACAAUCCUCCCAAGUUUUCUCCUUAAGCACCACCUCCGUAGCAUCAAGACGGUGCAUGUUCCUCUUCCACAUACCAUAAAGCCUAUGAAUCUUUUGAACUUGUCUAUUUGCAAGCUUAAUAUUAUUUAUUUUAAGAGCAUCAAUAGCAACUUCUAGAAGCUUCUUCAUGGUUCUUUCAUCAACUUUUCCUUCUAACUCAGCUCUAAAAAAUUGGUCAAAUUCAGGUACACCAAUGGCUCUUCGUAUCCCUCUUGUAUAAUCAUGAUUUUCUUUGUUAAAUAUUUCACGAACUUCGUCAACUUGACCUGCUUCAAUCAUCCGAUCCACACGUGUGGAUAAAGAUGAUUGGAGUACUUGACGUGAAACAUCAACCCAAAGAAAACAACAUUCAUACCUUGUAUGAAACUCAUGAUGAUGAUUAACCAAAGCUUCAAUGUACGAAUUUGAUCCACCUGCUAUAAUAGGUAACCCAUCUCUAGCGACGAUGGAGCCAGUAGCCAUCGUCGCCUGUUCACAAAACUCCUUGGAUGUGAAAUCUGAAUUAGGAUCAAUGGUUCCAAGUAAAUGAUGGUGGACCCCACGACACUCUUCUUCUGUGACUUUGUUUGUUGUUAUGUCAAGUCCUUUGUAAACUUGUAUUUUGUCGGAGUUGAUAAUCUCUGCCGGUGGAAAAUGUGUUGCUAAAUCUAUUGCCAACUUGGAUUUCCCGGUUGCGGUGGCGCCCAUGAUCACAAGUACUUUCUCCUUGUUACGAUGUUGUUGAAACAAUGAAUUGUUAUCCAUUAGUGGAGGUUGGAAACUCACUAGAGGCUUGCAAGCAACAGCACCCGACACUGAAAAUAUAUUCAUCAUUUUUUUUUUCUUCCUCUUAUUUUUCUUCUUAAUUAUCAAAUUUGAUGAAGAAAGCGUAACCUGCAAAGAAAGUUGACCAGACAUUUUUAAUUUACUCGUGUUAUGAAUAACAUUAGCAAAACCAGCUCAUAAGCAUAUUAGUUUAUUAAAUCCAACUACAAAUAGAAUCUAACAAGAGGGAGAAAAGAAUAAUGGAUCUAAAAAAAUAAAUGAACUUAAUCUAUAUAUCUGCAAGCAAAGCAAUGCCUUGUAUAUGGUAUGAAAAAGAAG
rnacentral:lncRNA from 1 species